GACGAACGCUGGCGGCGUGCUUAACACAUGCAAGUCGAACGGAAAGGCCCUGCUUUCGUGGGGUGCUCGAGUGGCGAACGGGUGAGUAACACGUGAGUAACCUGCCCUUGACUUUGGGAUAACUUCAGGAAACUGGGGCUAAUACCGGAUAGGAGCUCCUGCUGCAUGGUGGGGGUUGGAAAGUUUCGGCGGUUGGGGAUGGACUCGCGGCUUAUCAGCUUGUUGGUGGGGUAGUGGCUUACCAAGGCUUUGACGGGUAGCCGGCCUGAGAGGGUGACCGGCCACAUUGGGACUGAGAUACGGCCCAGACUCCUACGGGAGGCAGCAGUGGGGAAUAUUGCACAAUGGGCGGAAGCCUGAUGCAGCAACGCCGCGUGCGGGAUGACGGCCUUCGGGUUGUAAACCGCUUUCGCCUGUGACGAAGCGUGAGUGACGGUAAUGGGUAAAGAAGCACCGGCUACUACGUG
rnacentral:rRNA from 1 species